GGUAAGGAGAAGUCCUAGGGCCACCCCCCGCUUGCUUUGAUGACCAGCUUGGCCUGCCAUGACCCAGCUGCUUACUGAGAGCCAAGAUUUAGUUUAAAAAUGUCCUGGGCUCCCUCAUUGUGACUCAAACUCCAGAAGGCCUUAAUACCUUUCCUAGAAGAUCCCACAGAAUGGGUUUCAGGGACAACACUGUACUGAGACCACACGUUCCAGCUUCCACCAAACCCUCUCCAUGCUUGUUUCCUGACCUACAAAAUGGGGAUAGCAAUGUAGGGAUACUUCAGCAAGUUGUUAUGUAAAGUGUAUAUACACUGCUUGGCAAAUAGUGAACAUUUAAUCAACAGUAGUCAUUAUUAUUAUACUACCAUUAUUAUAAUAUUUACUAAAAACAAUUAUUAUGUAAUUAUUAUUAGAGUAUGGUUAUAAUAGUAUGAGGUGAGAAGGUUCCCUCCAGAGGCCAGGGGAGGUGAUGGCAUGAAGGGAAACCCUCCAGAGCCAUCUGAAACCUCCCAACAGGAGAUUGCACAGGAGAUGGAGGUAGGAGAAGAUGUGAUGUGCUCUCUGAAGGGAUCUCUCUUGGUUCCACAGUUCUUUGGCCUCCUUGAAGAGAAUUACCCAGAGACCCUGAAGUUCAUGCUCAUCGUGAAAGGUAUGUGACAAAUGACUUCACUUACUUGUGCCUCUGUUUCCUCAUCUGUACGCUGAGGGUGAUAACACUGUCUUUGUCCCAGGAUUGUUGUGAGGCAGGUUGGUUUCUUGGCUGUAUGCAAAUCACUUAGAAUGCCUGGCAUAGAGUAAGUUCUCAAUAAAUGGUAACUUCUAGGGUUGGCCUUACUGCAAGAGAAGGCAGCUCCAGUCCCAGCUCUCCCAGGGAUCCUCCCUUAUUUCUCCUGUCCAUGAUGAUCUCUCCCUCCCCAGACUGCUUCUGGCACUGGCAACUGGUGCAGCCUUCCCUGUUUGCUGCCUUUUAGGGAUCUCCAGCUGUUUUAUUUGUGCUCAUCCUGCUUUACUGGCUGAGUUUUCUGCUCCUUGAAGCCAGGGGCUGUGAUUCUCCACUUUUGUUGUAGCCCUCACAGGCCUGGGUCCAUGGUGGAUGCUCCAUAGGUAUUUGGGUAAUUGUUGUGGGUAGAUGAAAGGAUGGAUGGAUGUUUGGUGAUUGGCUAGUUGGUUGAUCAGUUGGUUGCUUGAUUGGUUGUUCAGCUGACUGGCCAGUUGGUUGCUUGGCUAGUUGACUAACUGGUGGUUCGUUGGAGAAUUGGCUGGCUGCUUGGUUGGCUAGUUCUUAGCUUGGUUGACUGAUUGAGUGGCUGGUUGGCAUUUUGGUUGGUAGGUUGUUUUGAUGGCUAGUUAGUUGGUUGCCUGGUUAGCAGGUUGGUUAGUUGGUUGCCUGGUUUGUUGUUUGGCUGAAUCUUAGAUGAUUAUUUGGAUGGUGGCUGGCUGGUUAUUUGGAUGGUUGGCUGGCUGGUUAUUUGACUGACUGGCUGGCUAGUUAUUUGGAUGGUUGGCUGGCUGGUUAUUUGACUGACUGGCUGGCUGGUUAUUUGGAUGGUUGGAUGACUGGUUAUUUGGAUGGUUGGCUGGCUGGUUAUUUGGAUGGUUGGCUGGCUAGAGAACACAGUUAGUUGAGUGGUUAUCUGGCUGUUCCAUUGGCUGAUUGCUUUGCUGUUUGGCUGAUUUGUUAGAUGGUUGACUAUUUGGUAGGUUGGCUGGUUAGAAGUUAAAUUGUUUGACUAUUUGUUGUCAGUUGGUUGGUUUGUUGCAUAGUUGGUUGGCUGUUUGGUAGGUUGGCUGGUUUAUUGGUUGACUGAAUAGGUGGCUGAUUAGAAGUUUGAAUGACUGGCUGGUUUGUUGGCUGAAUGGUUGGUUGAUGGUUGCAUUGCAUGAUUGAUGCAUGAUUGGUUAGUUGGCUGUUUGUUGGCUGGUUGACUGGUUGGUUGGAUGGUUUGUUGGGUGCAGGACAGACACUGGAAUUGACCAGGGUUAGUCAUGACUCCUCUGUAUCAUUGGCUAUAACCAUUAUGGAGGGGGUUGCCCAAUGUAAUUCUUUUCUUCCCAUUAUCCUUACUUCUAUCUCUCCAGCUACCAAACUGUUCCCUGUGGGCUACAACCUCAUGAAGCCAUUCCUGAGUGAGGACACUCGCAGGAAAAUUAUUGUGUUGGGAAGUAAGUAGUGCCAGCUCAAUUUCCUGACCUCUAUACAUGACCUUUGGAGUGAGGUUGUCCCAUUACCCCAUCUAGAACUCCACACAUUAGGUUGGGUGCAGUGGCUCACGAAUGUAAUCCCAGCACUUUGGGAGGCUGAGGCAGGAGGAUUGCUUGAUAUCAGGAGGUUGAGACCAGCCACAGCAACAUAGCAAGACCCCAUCUCUACAAAAAAUUUAAAAAUUAGCUGGUUGUGGUGGUGCACACCUGUAAUUCCAGAUACUUAGGAGGCUGAGGUGGGAGGAUCACUUGAGCCCAGGAGUAUGAAGCUGCAGUGAGUCGUGUUCACACCACUGCACUCCAGCCUGGGCAACAGAGUGAGAACCUAUCUCAAAAACAACAGAACUCUACACAUCACCUAGUCAGAGGCUCCUUCUUCCCAACAGUGAAGUGGGUUUUACCCUAAAGAGUGUUACCUUUGCUCUUUUCCCUGCCAUACCCCUUUGGUGGACAAGGCCUCCACACCUACCACCUCACUGGUUUCAGUUUGGUUGCAGUCAAUUUCUGGUAUAUAGGCCUCGGUUUCUUUUCAACACUCAUAAGCUUAGUGCUUCCAAAGGCAACCUUGGCAGAAGAGGAUGAGGCAGACGAGCAGAAAGAGUAGUCACAAUUCAGAGAAAGGAGACCCAACAAGAAAGGACUGGAUAAAUAAAUAAUGGUGCAUGCAUUUGAUGAAUUCUGGAGCCGCCAUGAGAAAUAAGGCUAUAUGUGAAUAUUUAAUGCCAUGGAAAUGUCUUUAAGUUUUUAAAAGUAGAUUAUAAACUUAUCUUCAUAAGCAUAAACUAAAAUAAGAUUAAACUAAAAGUAUAAUCUUAUUUUAUGAAAACAUAUGUACAAUAAAUACAUAUUUCUACAAGGAAAAACAACAAAAUAUUUUUUGUUGAUAGUGAGAGAUCGUGUGGUUUUUAAUUUUAUUACCUGUAUUGUCUAUGAUUUCUAAACUGUAUAAUAAUAUGUAUUAAUUUUACAAAUAGGAGAAUAGUUGUGUUUACAAGUGACAGGCUGAGAGAAAGAGAGAGAAGGGAAAUAGUUCUUAAACCCAAACCAAUGACCCUGGCUUGGAGGAAAACUUCUCCCAAGCAGGAUAGUCAGAUCACAGAAUUAGGAGAACUGAGGAUCC
rnacentral:lncRNA from 1 species